rnacentral:rRNA from 1 species
GUGGGGAAUCUUGCGCAAUGGGCGAAAGCCUGACCCAGCCACGCCGCGUGAGUGAUGAAGGCCUUCGGGUUGUAAAGCUCUGUGGGGAGGGAAGAAAAAGCGGGAGAGUAACUGCUCUCGUGUUGACGGUACCUCCUUAGCAAGCACCGGCUAACUCUGUGCCAGCAGCCGCGGUAAUACAGAGGGUGCAAACGUUGCUCGGAAUUACUGGGCGUAAAGCGCGUGUAGGCUGACAUGCAAGUCGGGUGUGAAAUCCCAGGGCUCAACCUUGGAACUGCACUCGAAACUGCACGUCUUGAGUACUGGAGAGGGAAGCGGAAUUCCGGGUGUAGAGGUGAAAUUCGUAGAUAUCCGGAGGAACACCAGUGCGAAGGCGGCUUCCUGGACAGUAACUGACGCUGAGACGCGAAAGCGUGGGGAGCAAACAGGAUUAGAUACCCGUGUAGUCC